UGAGCAUUCAGUAUACUUGUUUUUCUAUUCAUAAUAAUGAAAUAUUUUAUAAGAACUUUCAUUAAAAAGUUUUACUUUUUUAAAGUAGUCUUUUAUUACUAAGAAUACUGUUGAUUUUUUUAAAUAAUUGUAUAAUCGUUUAUUGUGUUAUUUAUUGUAUAUAUUUUUUAUUGCUUACUCUUUUCACACAUCAAAAUCAGUUUCAAGGCUGCCUUGAAACUAAUUUAGGUGUGUGAAAAGAGUAAGUAAUUUAAAUUAUCUUUGGCAGAACUUUGCCUUUAAGGCAAAGUUCUCCCAAAGAUAAUUUAAUAUGGUGAAAUAAAAAUUAAAUGACACUUUUAUAUGGGGAUUCAGCAUAAAAUGCAAAAAAAAAUAUUAAAAACAAAAACAGCAUUUUCUCAGCUUUUUUCCAUACCCAGAAUUUACUAUAUAACCACCUUAAGCUCUAUGAUACAUAAAAAUUAUAUACAUGUUUUAUCUAUGCGAAUAAUAAUAAAUGUAUCUACACAUUUUUUUAUAGGUUAAUAGUAAUUUUUUAAAUUAGUUGUGUUUAAAAGCCAACCCAGUUAAAUAGUUGUAUUAUGAUUGUUUGAUUUAGUGCAUCGUGGGACCUAAAAAUGAAACAUUUCUACUUGAUGGUAAAGCUAAAAGUUAGUUAACUUGUAGUUUUACACUACCAACUCAUUUAAAUAUUGGUUGUAGCAAUGGACACUUUCUGCAUAUAUUGGCAACUAACAAGGAUUCAUAUAAAGUAACUGUAGAAGUAAUCAAUAAGUAUUUUAACAUCAAAGUUUGUACUAAUUAGAUUCUGCAACUAGUUAAAACAUCAAAAAACUUUGUAAACCAUUUUUCACGAGAUUCAAAACAAUUUAUUGACAUCUGCUACAUGCUCUGUGCAUACCAAAUAAUAACAUCUGCUAUGGCACAAACAUCGCAAUCAAUUGCAACCUCAAUUCACAUUGCUAUAUGUUCUUCAUUUCCCUUUCAACAAAUCAGUGUUUUAUCUGUAUCAAACAGUGGUCACUUAUCUCUUUUAUCUGGUCCUGCUAUAGAAACCUCUUCUCAUGAACCACUAUUCAGUUAGAGAGCUGACUAGUUAAGUCCCAGAAAAAGGUUAUGAGAAAGAGAUUAAAUUUUUUUGUUUGAAACAACAGUUAACAUUAAACGAAACCAAGUUUUCUUAUCAAAAGGCAAUUUUAUACCAACAACUUGCUGACAAAAAUUAUGCAAUUCUUGUACUGCAAAAUGACAUUGACACUGAUUUUACAGGAAGAGUUGGAGGAAAUUCAGCAAGUAACACAAAACACCAAAACUCAAAAACACUACUCAGCAGAUAUUAGAACACUUAUAUACGACAUACUUGUGUGUUAAGUUCCUGGAUUCAUUCACACAGUUCAUUUUCUACACAAUUCUGCAAUACAAACUUCGCUACAAGGAUGCAAAAGUGAUCCAAAGGGUUUUGGGUUCUUUUUGGACCAACACGAGUUGCCCAGAAAAUUGCUACCACACUAUAGAGGGAACAGAAUACAUAUGCUUUUUCACACAUGUGGUACUUUGAUCUAUAAUUAUUCCAUAUUGAAGAUAUUUUUGUGUUCUGGCUUGACAUUAUGUGAAUGUCUGCAAAAUGGUUUGUUUCAAGACUUUACAUCUGAAACAGGUUUUAACUAAUAGCAUGCUAAAAGAUUGCAAUUUCCUACUAUCUUAAAGUCCUCAAGAUUAUAUUUAAUAAUUCAGUUACACAACGUGAUGAGUAUUACACGCUUGCUUUGAUGUUUGUUGAUCUUCUUCAUUUCAAUAUUAAAUCGAUAUCAUUAUAUGUGGUUUCCAUCGCGUACAAAAGAUUCGACUUUUUCUAUGGAUGUCACAGUUUUAUUUACUUCAAAAACUAGGCUUUUUUCAAAGCCACAAUUCUGUUAAAAACACUACUAAGCAAAUAAAAUAACUAUUAAAUAAAUGUAAAUUAUUGUUAAAGAAGUAUGU
rnacentral:lncRNA from 1 species